AUGGAUUUUGAUGAGCACUGGGACAACGUCCUAGGUGACCUGCACCAAGAUGGGGAACCAAUGGCCUCCGCUCCCAGAUUCUCAGCCCAGCCUAUGAUGACUUCGGCUACUUCCAUCUCCUCAGCCCAGGAGCCCAUGAGCUACUCAGGUGGGAUGGCUCAGUCUCUGGAGACAGACGACCGGGGCGAAUGCUUGGGGACACCAUGUCCACCACUGGCGAGCUGGGUGACCUCAGGGCAGACACCCGGCUCAGCCAUGCACCUGCCUGGUUCAGACAGCUCAGCUCCAACAGCCCCUGCGUGGGACCUCCUCUGGAGCCUCUCAGCUCUACGUCCUCACACACGGUGCGUCUCCUGUGACAUCACUAGUCCAGGCUCUACGUCCUCACACACAGUGAGUCUCCUCUGACACCAGUAGUCCAGGCUCUACAUUGCUGAGUCUCAGUCCUCUGCACUCCUCCUCAGGUGGGAAGCUCCUUGGGGGCCAUGGCUGGUUCUAUACCCUCAGUAACCCAGGGCUGGCUCGUGGUGGGAACUCAGACACUGCAUGCUGAGUGACAUGUGACCAAGCUCCAGCAAGGUCCCUCCUGGGCACCCAGGGUGAGCUGUACACACCAUGACACAAGAAAUGAGCUGGAACAACCACAGAAUUAUCCUCCAAGAGGAUCGGUGUCCUCUUCCCUUCUAAAUACAUUUGUACAUAAUGAGCCUUUAAUUAGACCAAGGCGGGAGUCUCUGCACGGAGAUCAUGCAUGACAAAUGAGGGACGGAGACGAUGCUGAAAGGCUGGGUGGCUGUAACGCAAGGUAACUGCAAUGCCUUUCGAAAGGAAACGCGUUUUGAUCUUGAAAACUGAAAUUAACUUUGAUGUCUUUGGAGAGUCUUCAAGCAUUUUUCGUUCACACAGAGCCUCUUUUCUUUACGCUCUACCAAGAGCACUGGGCGCAGCAGUCGGAGGCUGAGCCUGGACAGAGCUGUCAGGUGGGCUGGCAGGGGACCUCUGGAGUCUGUGUGCAAAGGGUGAGGGGUGCCGGCGCUGCAGCGGCUGAGCCAUGACUGUAGGUAAGUUCAAAGGGCUUUUCACUUCUGCAGGAGCACAAGUCUAGGGCUGUGCUGUGCCCACCGGCUGCGGUCCCAGCAGGGAAGGGCCACGGCUCCUGGACUCCGGCCAGCUCGGAGCAACAGGAGGCGGCAGAGAUGACAGCUCCCAUCUUGGAGAUAAGACACGUGGCCUGAGCUUUAAGGAGCUGGUUCUAAGGAGCCGCCUUAGUUUCAAUUAAAAGCGAUUGCACGCGUAGCAGGUCAGAGACUCUGUGCUUAUCUGCACGGAGCCCAACAGCAGCUUGUAAGCACCUACAAUUCAACGCACUCCCGCCUGACCCCGAGAGCCUUCCGGCACACCACACGCAGGAGGGAGGAGGGGCCCAGAGCAGCAGCAGCCUCACGGCACACCUCUGUGGAACAGCACCCGCACCCCGGCACGAGUGCCCCUCCUGGACCCAGGACCACCUUCCAGGGCGGCGGCCUCCCUCAGCGCCCCGGGCGCCUGCUCAAGGACUUGUGAGUGUGCAGCUUCCUGUGCGCUGUGAGAGGACAGGUCUCACUGCAGGUAGAGUCUGCGACGGCUCCCUGGACGGGAAGACCAGGGCAGCACCCGUCAGCCCCUGAGCCUCAGGGUGGCUGUGGAGGCCCCACGUCCGUCACCUCCCACCAGCUCCACUGGGAGGUUCCUGCAGCCCCUCGCAGUCCAAGGCUCGCCCCUCCCAGCUCCGCAAUACCCUGGAGACGCCACGUCCGUCACCUCCCACCAGCUCCCCCGUGAGGUUCCCGCAGCCCCUCGCAGUCCGAGGCUCGCCCCUCCCAGCUCCGCAAUGCCCCGGUUCAUGCAGCGGCAGGUGGCAGAGCAGAGCUGCCGCCUAGCACCCCACGUGGGCACCAGCUCAAGCCCUGGCUACCGCACUUCCAGCGCAGCCGCUGCUGAUGCACCUGGGAAAGCCGCGGAGGACGGCCCCAGUGCCUGGGCCCCCGCACCCACGUGGGAGACCUGGAAGAAGCUCCUGGCUCCAGAUCCACCCAGCUCCAGCCUUGAGGCCAUGUGGGGAGUGAACCACCGAUAAAGAUCUGUGUGUGUUAACCCUGGCUCCGAAAUAAACAAAACCUUUAAAUAUAAAUAUAUACGAGC
ensembl:lncRNA